UUGUGACUAUGAUGGGUCCACUCAGAUAACCCAGGACGGUCUCCUCAUCUCAAGAUCCUUAACUUAAUCACGUCUGCAAGUCCCUUUGCCGUGUGGAAUGACAUCCUCACAGGUUGCAGGGGCUAGGAUGUGGACAUCUUUGGGAGGCCAUUAUUCUGCCCCCGACAGUUACCGUCACUGAGGUUCAUCCCAAGGGCUCAAAUCAAACCUGAGAUUGUGCAGAAGCUGCACUUCCACCCUGCGGGGACACAUCGCAUCGCCAGCCCUUCUGUGUGUCUAGCGAAAUUGUCGGCCCCUCCCAGGAGCUGUUUCCACCCUCUCCCGCCAGUGAGUCAUCCUCAGAGGCCGCUCUCCGAGAAGGUGGGAUGGGCGAGCAGGAGGAGGUGUCAGAACGGGAAAGCUGUUCUGUUCUUCCCUUGAAAAUUCACUUUGCAGCUUGUAAGUGGUGAUUUUUCUGCACAAUCAGAACAAGUGAGUGGACCAGGUAGUGACCCAGGGUUUGGAACCCCUCCUGCUCCCAACCUGAUUGAAUAUGCG
rnacentral:lncRNA from 1 species